ACGGGCAUAGAGUGUGGCACUCUCUUUACACGAGGCAUCGGAUUUAACGUUCCCAUUCUGACCGGACGUGACUGCGAGCUUAAUAAAUCCUGCACAGCCAAACGGACGCUCCUCUUCGGCAAAUGUUUUACUGCCGGUCGGGAGAAGACCAAGCGACCAUAUUUCGUUUCCCCAGUCACCCUUGGGGUAACACGGAUUUAAACAAUAAGCAUAAUGCAUACUAUGGUUCUUCAACUAUUUUAGUUCUUAUACAUCCGUGGC
rnacentral:lncRNA from 1 species